AACGAACGCUGGCGGCAUGCCUAACACAUGCAAGUCGAACGAGACCUUCGGGUCUAGUGGCGCACGGGUGCGUAACGCGUGGGAAUCUGCCCUUUGCUUCGGAAUAACAGUUAGAAAUGACUGCUAAUACCGGAUGAUGUCUUCGGACCAAAGAUUUAUCGGCAAAGGAUGAGCCCGCGUAGGAUUAGGUAGUUGGUGGGUAAAGGCCUACCAAGCCGACGAUCCUUAGCUGGUCUGAGAGGAUGAUCAGCCACACUGGGACUGAGACACGGCCCAGACUCCUACGGGAGGCAGCAGUGGGAAUAUUGGACAAUGGGCGCAAGCCUGAUCCAGCAAUGCUGCGUGAGUGAUGAAGGCCUUCGGUCGUAAAGCUCUUUACCUAGGGAGUG
rnacentral:rRNA from 1 species